AAGUAUGUAUCUUUAUGUACGUAUAUUUGUACAGCUGAAAACCCUUUAAUUCUCUCUCCUUCAAAUCCAGCGCUUUCCGUCUCCUACGGUUCGGGUCAAUUUUCUGCGAAUAAAUAUCUCUGCUCAGGAUUCAUGUCGGACAAGGGUCAGCCACUGCCAAAGUUUGGGGACUGGGAUGUCAAUGAUCCAGCUUCGGCGGAGGGAUUUUCUGUUAUAUUUAACAGGGCUAGGGAUGAGAAGAAGAUGGGUGGGAAGCCAGAGUCUCCUACAAGGGUGGAUGCAGACACAAAGCAUGAAGUGGAACCUUUGAAACCUCAUCGUAAAAAAUGGUUUUGCUGUGGGUAGAGCUCCAAUGCAGAAUGGGACCAGAUUUAUUUAUGAAAGAAUGAUGUAUACUGGUAUCAGGUACCGGUCCGUUUUGUAUGCUACUUAGAAAACUUGAAUGUCAUAAAUUGGAUGUUGUUUUCAAUUAGACUGGUUUUAUGAGUGUUGAGUUUGCUGUAUUUUGUGGCAUGUAAAGUGUUUGUGCAUCUUUAGUUAAUUUUUAUUUGCUGAUUUAUAUGCUGAAGCCUGAAGUAAACCCCUUUUUUUACAAUGUUCAUUUGCAAAUGCAAUCUAGAAUUUGAAGAUCCUUUCAGUGAACUCUAUCUUAAGAACUAUGUUUGAUAUUUGCUGCUCUGCUCUAUUACCACAAGUUUUAGGACAAAUUUCUACAAAAAAGAAUCUGGCCAGUUCAAGUGACAAUGCUAGUUAGUUAGCUGAAACUAUAACUAGGAUAAUGUUCAUACAUGGUCUUGAAGGUUUAGGAAAACUAUAGUUGAACUUAUGAGGAUACAUUGUGUUGGGAUAUGAAGCCUGAUUGUAUCCUAAAAUUUAGGGAUAUGAUUUGGAUAUUAUAUUUUAGAUUUUAGAGAUAUGAUUUGGAUAUUAUUGUCAAAGGUUUAGGCUAUAAAUAUCCACGUAUUCUCACUUUAACAUGUGCCUGCGUACUUUAUAGUAAAAUUUCUGGCUUGGCAGCGCCCCCAGACGUAGAUCAUCGUGAUCGAACUGGGUUACCAAAUUCUUGUGUUCUUUUGUCUUUGUUGUCUCGUUUUGAUUUCCCGGAAUUUCCGUAACAAGUGGUAUCAGAGCCUAGUUCGUUGAUAGGGUGGAUUGAGAGGAAUCGGACGUUGGAUCGUUGUGGGAAUCCCUUGUGACCUGCGGAGGUGCCUUGUAUCGAAAGUCUCCUGGCGGUGUUGGGUCGGUCCUGACUGGUAGGUCAGGCAGCGAGUCCCUUUGUGAUAGGCGGCGCAAGGUUGGUAGGGAAGGAUAAGGGUUUCGGCAAACGCAGCGGAAUAUCCGAUGUGCUCUCAUAUCAAGUGAACCUUAGGUUUGUUUGUGGGAGUCAAGAUGGGUGAUCGUCAUGUUGUCAAGGUAUUCGAUGGAGAAAUCCGAAGAAAUGGAUGAAGCCAAAUACAAGAAGAUCGACAGGAAGAUGAUGAGUGCGGUUCGACUAACCCUUUGGGAGAAUGUCUCAACUGAAUUUAGAUUUGAGGCAAAAGGAAAGUGUGAAGAUCAAGUCAAAGUUGAAGCCGAAGAAUAAGGACAAAGAAGAUGCAAGUCAGGUGGUAUGUUGGAACUGCAAGGGGCACUUGAAACGACAGUGCAGGGCGCCGGAGAAGAAUUAGGGUUCGGCAAACGCAACGGAGGAGAUAUCCGAUGUGCUGAUUCUGAGCGUCAGCAGUCCAAUGAAGUCAUGGAUUUUGGUCUCAGGAGCGCCAUUCCACUCAUGCAGUGAUUCGGGAAUCAUGGAAUCCUAUCUUGCAGAUGAUGAAACACUGAAAAUUGUAAGUAAAGAAAGGAUUCGAAUCAGAAUACCGAAUGGUGGGGAGUGGAGAUUGGAUGAGGUAUGUUGAAGUGAAAGAUGAAAUCAGUCUUCAAGUGCGAGAUUGUUGGGAUAUAAAGCCUGAUUAUAUCCUAAAAUCUAGGGAUAUGAUUUGGAUAUUAUAUUUUAGAUUUUAGAGAUAUGAUUUGGAUAUUAUUAUCAAAGGCUUAGGCUAUAAAUAUCCAUGUAUUCUCACUUUAACAGGUGCCUGUGUACUUUAUAGUAAAAUUCCUGGCUUGGCAGCGCCCCCAGA